rnacentral:lncRNA from 1 species
CACAGCCAUAGCAAAGGAGUUGAAGCAGCGCUCCAUGAAGGCUCCCAGCGAGCCGCGCUUCCGGCUGCAUGAUUACGUUAAGAGGGAGGGUCGAGGGGCCUCCUGCUGCCGCCCUUGAACCUGGCUGAGCUCAGUCCUCUGGAGGAAGCCGUCCAGUCCCUAGAAGGCUGGACAGAGGGUCUCCAGGCCCUUCUGACUUUGUUGCCCAGUGGCCAACGCCCGAGUGUCUGUUUUCAGGAGCCCCAGGUCAAGCCUUGUCCCUUCCUCCUCCCAGCAACAGUCCCAACAAGCAGGCUUCUGAGAGCCCGUGGCCGCACACUGGCCGCCACGGAAAAGCAGUCUUCUGCACGGGACGGGGAGCGGCAAGUGGACAGACUUUGCCACGGUGCUCUGCUGCCCCCUCCUGGGCACGUCCAGGUGAGGGAGGGCUGGGGCUGGCACCACGCACAGUGCCUAACCCUAGAAAAGCCAUGUCUUCAGCCGCACAUGCUCAGGCAGCUAAGGGAGGACGCCUGCCCACGCCUGGGACAGAAGGCUUCACUGCUAAUCACAUCGUGCAUCUGUGUGUCCUGGGAGCUGCCUGCUCCCGGCCCACCCUCUAGGAGGCUCUGGCUCAAACAGCAAUAGGGUCUUCCUCACUGACCUUGGAGGAUGCCUGUGGCCUUGUGAUAAAAUGUGGGAAAUCACAGAAAACACCAGAAACAACAACUGCCAGCCCGGCCUGGCCACAGGUGAGGUCUGUGAUUUCCGAGCACGCUCCACCUUGCACUCAACUUGGCCUUUUGAUUGCACAAGCCUUUGUUUUCAGUCCUAGUGAAUAAAGUUGUGUUUUCUG